AGUCGAGCGAACAGAUAAGGAGCUUGCUCCUUUGACGUUAGCGGCGGACGGGUGAGUAACACGUGGGUAACCUACCUAUAAGACUGGGAUAACUUCGGGAAACCGGAGCUAAUACCGGAUAACAUUUGGAACCGCAUGGUUCUAAAGUGAAAGAUGGUUUUGCUAUCACUUAUAGAUGGACCCGCGCCGUAUUAGCUAGUUGGUAAGGUAACGGCUUACCAAGGCGACGAUACGUAGCCGACCUGAGAGGGUGAUCGGCCACACUGGAACUGAGACACGGUCCAGACUCCUACGGGAGGCAGCAGUAGGGAAUCUUCCGCAAUGGGCGAAAGCCUGACGGAGCAACGCCGCGUGAGUGAUGAAGGGUUUCGGCUCGUAAAACUCUGUUAUUAGGGAAGAACAAACGUGUAAGUAACUGUGCACGUCUUGACGGUACCUAAUCAGAAAGCCACGGCUAACUACGUGCCAGCAGCCGCGGUAAUACGUAGGUGGCAAGCGUUAUCCGGAAUUAUUGGGCGUAAAGCGCGCGUAGGCGGUUUCUUAAGUCUGAUGUGAAAGCCCACGGCUCAACCGUGGAGGGUCAUUGGAAACUGGGAAACUUGAGUGCAGAAGAGGAAAGUGGAAUUCCAUGUGUAGCGGUGAAAUGCGCAGAGAUAUGGAGGAACACCAGUGGCGAAGGCGACUUUCUGGUCUGUAACUGACGCUGAUGUGCGAAAGCGUGGGGAUCAAACAGGAUUAGAUACCCUGGUAGUCCACGCCGUAAACGAUGAGUGCUAAGUGUUAGGGGGUUUCCGCCCCUUAGUGCUGCAGCUAACGCAUUAAGCACUCCGCCUGGGGAGUACGACCGCAAGGUUGAAACUCAAAGGAAUUGACGGGGACCCGCACAAGCGGUGGAGCAUGUGGUUUAAUUCGAAGCAACGCGAAGAACCUUACCAAAUCUUGACAUCCUUUGAAAACUCUAGAGAUAGAGCCUUCCCCUUCGGGGGACAAAGUGACAGGUGGUGCAUGGUUGUCGUCAGCUCGUGUCGUGAGAUGUUGGGUUAAGUCCCGCAACGAGCGCAACCCUUAAGCUUAGUUGCCAUCAUUAAGUUGGGCACUCUAGGUUGACUGCCGGUGACAAACCGGAGGAAGGUGGGGAUGACGUCAAAUCAUCAUGCCCCUUAUGAUUUGGGCUACACACGUGCUACAAUGGACAAUACAAAGGGCAGCUAAACCGCGAGGUCAUGCAAAUCCCAUAAAGUUGUUCUCAGUUCGGAUUGUAGUCUGCAACUCGACUACAUGAAGCUGGAAUCGCUAGUAAUCGUAGAUCAGCAUGCUACGGUGAAUACGUUCCCGGGUCUUGUACACACCGCCCGUCACACCACGAGAGUUUGUAACACCCGAAGCCGGUGGAGUAACC
rnacentral:rRNA from 1 species